GCUGUGGCUCAGUGGGAGAGCAUUUGCUUUACAUGCAGAAGGUUCCAGGCUCAAAUUAUGACAUCUUCA